GCCCAGCCGGCGCUCGGCGCGAAGCAGGGUUUACCUCUAGCUGCCCCAACUGCUUGCUGAAGCCGCCCCUGGCUGGAUGAGAACGGACUUCUGCCGGACGCUAGACAAACGCUCACAUUAGGACGUUGUUAUCGGGGCCCAGGAAGGCUGAAAUGCUAGUCCAAGGCUGGGCAGUGGGCAUUUGUCAGAAGCAUCUGAUUAGCAUCUGGAGAAGACAGAAGCCGUCCCAUCAGCUGGGCUGGUUAACAUCAGCAAGUCCAGAGCUCGGUCCACAGGUGAGCCCUGGAUGGAGUCUGCCAGCCAGACAAGAGUUUCACUGAGAAGCCUUGGCUGGCCUGGAACUUACUACAUAGCCCAGGAUGGCUCAAGCUUGCAUCGAUACUCCUACCUCUGCCCACAGAGUGCUGGGAUUACUGGCCUGUGUUGCCAGACCCAGUCUAACAGCACCUAAAGAGUUCUUCGACUUUGAAUCCCUGCCCCAGCACUUAAGUGCAUGGCUGAAAGACCGGCCAACUCCAUACUCAUAAAGGAAACGGAAAUACUUUGCAUACUUAAUAUGAACCACUCUGAUGGCUCAGCAGAUAAAGGUUUAUGCCCCACAAGCCUGAUGAUCCAGGUUCGAAGGUCCCAUACGGUGGGAAGAGAGAACCAACUCUCCAAGUUGAACUCUGACCUCCACCAUCGCACUUUGGCAAGCCCUUGCUCUCUGCUCAAUAAACAGAUGUAAUUUAA
rnacentral:sRNA from 1 species